UACGAAGGGGGCUAGCGUUGUUCGGAAUCACUGGGCGUAAAGCGCACGCAGGCGGAUUGCUAAGUCAGGGGUGAAAUCCCGGGGCUCAACCUCGGAAUUGCCUUUGAUACUGUCUGUCUUGAGUUCGGGAGAGGUUGGCGGAAUUCCUAGUGUAGAGGUGAAAUUCGUAGAUAUUAGGAAGAACACCAGUGGCGAAGGCGGCCAACUAGCCCGAUACUGACGCUCAUGUGCGAAAGCGUGGGGAGCAAACAGG
rnacentral:rRNA from 1 species